UGCGGCCCGGAGUUCACUGCGAGGACUGGGAUCACCCGUCACCCCGCCCUGGUCUACGGAAAACGAAACGUGUUCACUGAUAUAGAAACGGAAUAACGGCGCUGCGGGCUGGGGAGGGCAGAGCUGCCUUCAGGCUUCUGGUCUCCAGCUGCGGGUCACUCACACCUGCCGCUGUGAAAUGCAGACCCGCGGGGCAGGAAUUCCGAGUCCGGGCUGGAGCGCGAUCUGGAAUCUGAGUCGCUUGAAACAGCACCGCGGUGGAUUCGGAGCCGGAUGUUGUGCUGGGGUCUGACCGGCAGACCCAGGCUGCAGGAUGGAUGAAUAACAUACUCAAGACACCGAUAUUCAGUGAAAGAGUGCGCCGGGGGCCGGGCCACUCACAGAAAGGGUUGUGGCAGCUGCAUACCUUCACUAGCUGACCCUGUGGGCCUUUAUUCAGCAUAGAUUUAAUGACAAAGGCUUUGAGUCAACAUAUCUGUGGGUAAUUAAUCUGGUCGCCAUCCCCCCGGAGAGAGCAGUACUACAAAUGAUCAAAGGUUGGUCUUAGGACCACAUGAGUAAACAUGCUCUUUAGAUAAACUCCCUUACAUGUCUUUGUACCUACUCGAAGCUAUUAACUCAAGGUAAGAGGAUUAGGCUGCUUUCAGCCAUAACCCUAUCCUGAGGCUUUUGCAAAACUUUCUGCCUUCCAAGAAGGUUUGUAUCUAUUACCUAUAACUUUAUCUUUAUAAUUAUUCCCACCACCUGACCAAUCCCCUACAAUGUUGAAAUUUUAUCUUUUAGUAUAAACUUGGAUUUGGGUGGAUUGCAGUGGUUCAUGACUAUAAUCCCAGUUCUUUGGGAAUCAGAGGCAGAAGGAUUGCUUAAGCCCAGGAGUUUCAGGCUGCAGAGAGCUCUGAUUGUGCCAUUGCACUCCAGCCUGGGUGACAGGAGGAGACCCUGUCCCCAAAACAGAAAAAUAAAUAAAAAUUUAAAAUAAUAAAAAUUAUAAACUUGGAUUUAUGUGGAGGUUAAGGAAGAGAAUAUUUCAGUUUGAAAAUAUGAAGCUAAGCCCCACAACGAAAUAGUUACAGAGUUUUAAAAACCAAAAUGUUCAUUAAAACCCACCACCAGAAACUCUCUUUCAAGAGGAUCCUUCAUAUUUUCAUGGCAUUGAAUCUUUCUUAAAGUGCCUUUGAAAGAGAUGUUUACAAUGGAAUAGAGAGACGUGUAACAAUAUUUACAAAAGGGGUUGGCUGUAAUAAAAAGGAAAACACAAA